rnacentral:rRNA from 1 species
GUAAGGAAUAUUGGGCAAUGGAGGCAACUCUGACCCAGCCAUCCCGCGUGAAGGAUUAAGGCCCUAUGGGUUGUAAACUUCUUUUGCUUGGGAAGAAAUCAGGACAUUUAUGUGCUGUUGACGGUACCUUGCGAAUAAGCACCGGCUAACUCCGUGCCAGCAGCCGCGGUAAUACGGAGGGUGCAAGCGUUAUCCGGAAUCACUGGGUUUAAAGGGUGCGUAGGCGGUUCGAUAAGUCAGAGGUGAAAGCUAGCAGCUUAACUGUUAAAUUGCCUUUGAUACUGUCGGACUUGAAUCAGGUUGAGGUAGGCGGAAUGUGACAUGUAGCGGUGAAAUGCAUAGAUAUGUCAUAGAACACCAAUUGCGUAGGCAGCUUGCUGGGCUUGAAUUGACGCUGAGGCACGAAAGCGUGGGGAUCAAACAGGAUUAGAAACCCUGGUAGUCC